GUAACUGAUAGUCUGUUGCUUUACUUCUACACUGCUUAAUUAACCUGCGAUUAAUUUUGAUAUUUGAUUUUUGGCAAGAAUCAUCGGACUAUAGAUUAUUGAUCAUGCAUGAAACGUUUUAAAGGAAGCGAAUCUACAUUUGCAUGCUCGGUUUGAAGACUUGCCAGCUGGGUGAAGAAGCUUUCUGACAAACAUCCAAAUCACUCUAAUAGGCCCAAGUUGAGCAUAUGUUAGAUGGUCUGGAUGACAUGGAUGGUGCCGAGGAUGUCCCUUUUGAUGAGCUCAUAGGCAUGCAAGGCUUAGUAUUUCACUUGGUUGAGAAUGCAAUUACAAUAUGUAUUACAUACAAGUCUGAUGGAUUCAAGAGAAUGAAGAGUAAAUAAUACUAUACUAUAAAUACGUCAACUACAGAUAACCCUCCCAACUACAAUGUUGCACCUGACAACCUCCUACUCAACGAGGCCAAGCUAUCUGCAGGGGACCAUGCCCCUGGACGUUCCUAAGAGGUGUGCUGCUAGAUGACCUUCUUGCUGCUGAAACAACAAAUGCUUGUAACUGCAGCUCCUGCUAACAUGCAAGCUGGAUGAGCACCGGGCAUAUUUGCUACGAUGAUGAACAAACAUGCAAAUGACUGCAGAAACAACAGCUGAUGGAG